UACGAAGGGGGCUAGCGUUGCUCGGAAUCACUGGGCGUAAAGGGUGCGUAGGCGGGUCUUUAAGUCAGGGGUGAAAUCCUGGAGCUCAACUCCAGAACUGCGUCCGAUACUGGAAGGCUUGAAUCCGGGAGAGGGAUGUGGAAUUCCAGGUGUAGCGGUGAAAUGCGUAGAUAUCUGGAGGAACACCGGUGGCGAAGGCGACAUCCUGGACCGGUAUUGACGCUGAGGCGCGAAAGCCAGGGGAGCAAACGGG
rnacentral:rRNA from 1 species